rnacentral:rRNA from 1 species
GUAGUCUCGCACAGAUGCAUAUCAAUAAGCGGAGGAAAAGAAACUAACAAGGAUUCCCCUAGUAACGGCGAGUGAAGCGGGAAGAGCUCAAAUUUGAAAUCUUAAAGGGUUUCCCUUUACGAAUUGUAGUUUAAAGAAGUGUUUUCUGUUGAGGUUUUGGUAAAAGUUCUUUGGAAUAGGACAUCAUAGAGGGUGAGAAUCCCGUAUUUGACCUUUACUUUCAACUUUGUGAUACACUUUCAAAGAGUCGGAUUGUUUGGGAAUGCAGUCCAAAAUGGGUGGUAAAUUUCAUCUAAAGCUAAAUAUUGGCGAGAGACCGAUAGCGAACAAGUACCGUGAGGGAAAGAUGAAAAGAACUUUGAAAAGAGAGUUAAACAGUACGUGAAAUUGUCAAAAGGGAAGCGUUUGACACCAGUGUUGUUUUUCUGAAAAUCAAUUAAAGAACUGUUUAUGCUAAGUUGUUUAGACUUUAUCAGCUAACUGUUUAGUUUUGAGCUUUUCUUCAAUGCACUUUUCAGUUAACAAGUCAACAUCAAUUUCUUUUGCUGUAAAAAAGCUUGAGGAAGGUGGCUUGAGAUUCGUCUUAAGUGUUUAUAGCCUCUUGCCUAUGCAGUCGGAGAGAUUGAGGUCUGCAGCGUAGAUCCUUCGGGGCUAAAUGCAUUUGUGCUAAGUUAUAGCAUUUUAUAGACAACUUGUUGACUAUGAUUUGUCUUGUAGCUUACUCGCUUAUGUUAUUUUACCUACGCUUAGGAUGUUGAAGACUCUACAGAGAUA